UACAGCUAUUCGGGCAUAUCUGCAGAAUGAACGACGAGCAAAAAGUUAAGAGCCUGGUAUUUGGCAUAAUGGAUGGUCCGAAUAGGAGAGGCAGACCCCACAGAGAAUGGGUAGAUGAUCUAGUAGAUUAGCUCUGCACCAAAGCCACUCCACACUGUACAGGGAAAGAUGGAAGGAAAUAGUGAGGGAGGCAUCGGACACCAAUGGGCGCUGAGACCAUGGUGGUUGUUGAUGAUGACUCCAGUUUAUGUGCAGAUAGGAAAAAUGUGCUCAGAAUUCUUUCUAAAUAAAUGAAAGAAAAUGCUUCUAUGUUUAUUAUGAUUAAAAUUGCAAUGUAAAUAGUGGGAAAACAUUUCUUGUGAAUUUUCACUGGAAUUUGGAAGAUAAUUUGGACUCAGUUGAAUCUGCCACUGCUUUCUGAUUCAUUUUGGUAGACAUUCUCAUAGUCACAGUUUUUAAAGCAUGUGCAUCUGUGAAAGGAGAACUUUAUAUUUUAAUAUUUACAGAAAGCAAAUUUUGAAUUUUAUAUUGGAGUGUAAAAUUCUGUUUUUGCUAUUUUGGUUGGGUCCAUAGCUCAACCAAUCAUACCCAAUAACUGUGCCACCUGACCUAUGUAACCAACCAACAGAGCCCUGAUUUUGACAUUCAAAUGAGCUAUUCAUAUAGGAAAAAAUGUCUCACAUUUGCAAAUAAUAUUUAAUAAAAUACGUACCUCAGAAUUUCACUAUCUUCUUGCAAUCAAUUCUGUGCCAAACAAAUCCAUUCUAUGGCCAUUGAAAUCAGUGGUAAUCCUUCCAUCUAUUUCAAUGGGCACUGAAUCACACACCAGCAGAGACAAAAUUUGAGAAAUAAAUGGUCAAUUCCACUCUAUAUUCAAUUAUGUUAAGGAUCUGGAAAUUUUACAGCAUUCGACUGAACCUAAUUAAUUACUACUCACAACACCCUUUUAAUCUAGAGAAGAAAUUAUAUGCCCUGUUCACAGUGACUUAAUUAACUUGCUAAAAGUGACAGUGAAUCUUCUAGUACAGCCUAAGAGAACCCAGGAGUCCUGACUCCCACUCACCUUCUCUAACCACAAAACAAAAGUCUUAAAAAUGUCCCACUUGGAAAUAUAUCCUCUUCAUGAGAGAAUCCUUAGCAAUAUAAAGGUGCACCAGAGCUCUGGACUAAUCUUGGAUGCUGAGACUGAUGAAGAGAUCAUGAAUUUUAGCCACCAUGAAAUUUCUCUAUAAUAUUAGUGAUGCAAGGCAGAAUUUCUUCAAACCAAGCAGUGACUAAACAGGAUUUCACAAAACUAUAUCCUCAUUAUAGAACACUUUAUUUAUUCACAAAUCUCUCUUUCAUCAUUUUACCUGCAGCCUUUUCCCAUAAAGGAACCAGCUAAUGAGCAGAGUGGAAAUUAAGCUUACCGUGACUGAGCUGUGUUUCAUUUUGGAUUGAAUUAAAAGUUAUUGACAGCAGGUCUACGCCCACUGCAGGGGAAAAUCUAACCCCUAGGAGUCUGGAAUUAACACAAUAAAGUAAAGAAAUGGCAGCUGUAUGGAAUGUGUCCAGGAGAAAUUCAAAUGCCACCCAUAGAUAAAUAGCCAACUUAGAAAAUGGAGUUACCUGUGAUGCUUGUUCUGCACACAAGACAUAAAUCAGAUCCAAAGCUCUCUGAUGAAUCAAGUGCAGAUUUCCCUUGAUUGCUUAUGAAUUCAUCAAGGGAAUCAACAUUCUCUGAAGCUUAAAUGUCUAUUAAUAAAAAUAAUGUAUAAGAAAGGUGACAAGUAUUCU